UAAAGUGAAUGUGUGUGAGAGUGUAUUUGUGUGGGGAAAUAGCUCAACUCUAUGGUCAGUCAUUUAAAACCAUACCAAAUAGCACUGGUCCGGUCGGCUGGCCAGCAUGCUUGCAUUGAACAUCAUCUCCACACUCAUCAUCAAAUAUUCUUACAUUUACGCUCAUUUCCAAUGCGAUCUGGGAUGACAUGCGCAAUCGCACUCACAUUCAAUAAAACAUACAAUGGAGGGUGUACGUAUGUACAUUUGUUUCAUUUGUCCAUGGUAUGUGAUUGACUAAAUUGCUAGUGACUACACUCUUCGUACUGAUUAGUGCCAAGAUAUGGGGGCGCAUUAUGAUGAAAUGCUGGCUGGCAGGCGGGGAUUUUGAUUGUGUGUGAAGACUGUGUGUGCUAUUACUACUACUUAAUGAGUGGACAGUCUCGCUGACUGGCUGGCUGCUGGCUGGAUGGAGGGCUGGCGAAAUGAUACGAGAACAACUGUUCAAAAAACCAAUGACUUUGGGCGUAUGAUCAGAGCUCUGAUCAGUGUGAAAUUCGAGCUCGAUCAGUGAACUUAGAAAGCAAAGAAAAUGUGUAAACACAAAAGAAACAAAAAUAUAGAAAACUACAACUAAAGAACCCAAAUCAAGAACAAGCGAAAAAAUAUUAAAAAAAAAAUUAUAUUUUUUUAAGCUAAAUGAAAAACUAAAUAUCAUUUACAUAGUACCUAAUAAACAAAUAGCAAAUGAUAAAAGUGAAAUAAAAAAAAAAAAUUAAACAAAAAAAUACUUUUAAGCUGCAAUAGAAAAAAUAAGAAUUAAAUAUCCCCAAUUUGCCGCUCGCUCUCGUUCUGUUCGUUAAGUCAAGCAGUCAGCCAGCCAGUCAACAGAAAUAAAGGUUACGACCCCAUCCAUAAACAGUGGCGAUAAUCCUUAUCGUUCAGUUUGCUGCCAGUUUAUAGCUGAUAUCAAGUUUUCUUGUUGUCGUCGCUGACGUUUCGUGUUUUUCUACAUUUUAUUCAACAAACGAUUGUGAUUAUUUUUAAAAAUAUUUUUUAUUGAUAUGCAAUUUUUUUCAUUUGAUUUUCCAAACAAUCGAGUAAUGCAGUAGUUUUGUGUUUUUUAUUUAUAUUUAUUGAUGCCAUAAUAACUAAUAAAAAAAUCCAUUGAAUUCAACAACUAUCGACAGUAAAAACAGACAUAACAUUUUAAAACCAAAUUCAAAUAAACUUUUAGAAAACAACACAAUCGAAAUGUGGACAUUUGACAUUGCAGAUCCUACCCAUCGCAUUAAUACGUAGCUUAAUGGAAUCUACGCUUCAAAAUUGAUGUUGUUUAUUUGUUAAGGUUGAUUCUGUUUGCUUGGCGAUAAUGUGAAUUGUAGAAGAUCCGUUGCCCAAAAUUUGAUAUAAAUUAUAAUAAAAA